rnacentral:tRNA from 1 species
AGGGAUGUAGCUCAGUGGUAGAGUGCUUGCUUGGCAUGCAUGAGGUCCUGGGUUCAAUUCUAAGAAUCAUAA